rnacentral:rRNA from 1 species
UACAGAGGGUGCAAGCGUUGCUCGGAAUCAUUGGGCGUAAAGGGUAGGUAGGUGGUCUCAUUUGUCUGGGGUGAAAGCCCAGGGCUUAACCCUGGAAGUGCCCCGGAAACGGUGAGACUAGAGUCUUGGAGAGGGUCGUGGAAUUCCCGGUGUAGCGGUGAAAUGCGUAGAGAUCGGGAGGAACACCAGCGGCGAAGGCGGCGACCUGGACAAGUACUGACACUCAACUACGAAAGCGUGGGGAGCAAACAGG